rnacentral:rRNA from 1 species
CUCUUUUUGAAUAUAAUUUAAAGUAGGGCCUGCCCACUGAAAUUAUUGAAGGGCCGCAGUAUUUUGACUGUGCAAAGGUAGCAUAAUCAUUAGUUUUUUAAUUGAAAGCUUGUAUGAAUGGUUUGAUGAAAAAAUUUCUGUUUCUAUUUAAAUUUAUAGAAUUUUAUAUUUAAGUUAAAAAGCUUAAAUAAUUUUUAAAGACGAGAAGACCCUAUAGAGUUUAACUAAAUUUAAUUUUUAAAAUCAAAGAAUUUAAAUUUUUAAAUUUUAAAUAAGUUUUGUUGGGGUGACAAAAAAAUUAAAUUAACUUUUUUUUUAUUACUACAAUAAUUUUUGAUUAAUUGAUCCAUGAAAAUGAUUAUAAGAUUAAAUUACCUUAGGGAUAACAGCGUAAUCUUUUUUGAAAGUUCAAAUUGAAAAAAGGGGUUGCGACCUCGAUGUUGGAUUAAAAUUAAUUUUCGGUGAAGAAGCUGAAUAAUUAGGUCUGUUCGACCUUUAAAAUUUUACAUGAUCUGAGUUUAAACCGGUGUAAGCCAGGUUGGUUUCUAUCUUAAAAUAAAGAAAAUAUUUUAGUACGAAAGGAUCAAAUAUUUUAUUUAGAAUAUUUUAAUUGAAUAGAAUUUUUAUUUUGGCAGAUUAGUGCAAGAGAUUUAGAAUCUUUAUAUGUAAUUAUUACAAAUAAAAAUUGAUUUAUUUUUAAUAUUAAUGAAUUUUUUAAUUUUAUUCGUAGGGGUUUUAGUUGGGGUGGCUUUUUUAACAUUAUUAGAGCGUAAACUUUU